CAGGGUAUAGACCCGAAACCCGGUGAUCUAGCCAUGGGCAGGUUGAAGGUUGGGUAACACUAACUGGAGGACCGAACCGACUAAUGUUGAAAAAUUAGCGGAUGACCUGUGGCUGGGGGUGAAAGGCCAAUCAAACCGGGAGAUAGCUGGUUCUCCCCGAAAGCUAUUUAGGUAGCGCCUCGUGAAUUCAUCUCCGGGGGUAGAGCACUGUUUCGGCUAGGGGGCCAUCCCGGCUUACCAACCCGAUGCAAACUGCGAAUACCGGAGAAUGUUAUCACGGGAGACACACGGCGGGUGCUAACGUCCGUCGUGAAGAGGGAAACAACCCAGACCGCCAGCUAAGGUCCCAAAGUCAUGGUUAAGUGGGAAACGAUGUGGGAAGGCCCAGACAGCCAGGAUGUUGGCUUAGAAGCAGCCAUCAUUUAAAGAAAGCGUAAUAGCUCACUGGUCGAGUCGGCCUGCGCGGAAGAUGUAACGGGGCUAAACCAU
rnacentral:rRNA from 3 species